rnacentral:tRNA from 1 species
GGGGUUGUGGCUCAGUGGUAGAGCACUUGCCUAGCAUGUGAGGAAAUGGGUUCAAUCCUCAGCACCACA